rnacentral:pre_miRNA from 1 species
AGUGGGAAAACUGGGUCAAAUGGUGGUUCCGUUCCAGGUUUUUUAAGGAAUCACCAUACUACUUUUCAGAGUGGUUGUACCAAUUUGUAGUCCCACCAGCAAU